GACGAACGCUGGCGGCGUGCUUAACACAUGCAAGUCGAACGGAAAGGCCCUGCUUUUGUGGGGUGCUCGAGUGGCGAACGGGUGAGUAACACGUGAGUAACCUGCCCUUGACUUUGGGAUAACUUCAGGAAACUGGGGCUAAUACCGGAUAGGAGCUCCUGCUGCAUGGUGGGGGGUGGAAAGUUUCGGCGGUUGGGGAUGGACUCGCGGCUUAUCAGCUUGUUGGUGGGGUAGUGGCUUACCAAGGCUUUGACGGGUAGCCGGCCUGAGAGGGUGACCGGCCACAUUGGGACUGCGAUACGGCCCAGACUCCUACGGGAGGCAGCAGUGGGGAAUAUUGCACAAUGGGCGGAAGCCUGAUGCAGCAACGCCGCGUGCGGGAUGACGGCCUUCGGGUUGUAAACCGCUUUCGCCUGUGUCGAAGCGUGAGUGACGGUAAUGGGUAAAGAAGCACCGGCUAACUACGUG
rnacentral:rRNA from 1 species